rnacentral:rRNA from 1 species
CAGUAGCCGCGGUAAUACGGAGGGUGCAAGCGUUAAUCGGAAUUACUGGGCGUAAAGCGCACGCAGGCGGUCUGUCAAGUCAGAUGUGAAAUCCCCGGGCUUAACCUGGGAACUGCAUUUGAAACUGGCAGGCUAGAGUCUUGUAGAGGGGGGUAGAAUUCCAGGUGUAGCGGUGAAAUGCGUAGAGAUCUGGAGGAAUACCGGUGGCGAAGGCGGCCCCCUGGACAAAGACUGACGCUCAGGUGCGAAAGCGUGGGGAGCAAACAGGAUUAGAUACCCGGGUAGUCCCUGUCUCUUAUAC